ACCGAAGCUGCGGCAGCGACACUAUGUGUUGUUGGGUAGGGGAGCGUUCUGUAAGCCUGUGAAGGUGGCCUGUGAGGGUUGCUGGAGGUAUCAGAAGUGCGAAUGCUGACAUAAGUAACGAUAAAGCGGGUGAAAAGCCCGCUCGCCGGAAGACCAAGGGUUCCUGUCCAACGUUAAUCGGGGCAGGGUGAGUCGACCCCUAAGGCGAGGCCGAAAGGCGUAGUCGAUGGGAAACAGGUUAAUAUUCCUGUACUUGGUGUUACUGCGAAGGGGGGACGGAGAAGGCUAUGUUGGCCGGGCGACG
rnacentral:rRNA from 1 species